GGUUAAGUUAACAAGGGCGCAUGGUGAAUGCCUUGGCACUAGGAGCCGAUGAAGGACGGGACUAACACCGAUAUGCUUCGGGGAGCUGUACGUAAGCUAUGAUCCGGAGAUUUCCGAAUGGGGCAACCCAGCAGUUUUAAUCAACUGUUACCACUAGAUGAAUUCAUAGUCUAGUUGGAGGUAAACGCUGUGAACUGAAACAUCUCAUUAGCAGCAGGAAUAUAAAGAAAUUUCGAUUCCCUAAGUAGCGGCGAGCGAACGGGGAACAGCCCAAACCAAAGUGCUUGCACUUUGGGGUUGUAGGACUGAACAUUUGAGUUACCAAAGAACUUGAUAGUCGAAGGAUUUGGGAAAAUCCGCCAUAGAUGGUGAUAGCCCAGUAGAUUAAAUCAAAUUCUCUCAGUUCAGGAUCCUGAGUACGGCGGAACACGUGAAAUUCCGUCGGAAUCCGGGAGGACCAUCUCCCAAGGCUAAAUACUACCUAGUGACCGAUAGUGAACCAGUACCGUGAGGGAAAGGUGAAAAGCACCCCGGGAGGGGAGUGAAAUAGUUCCUGAAACCAUGUGCCUACAAUAAGUCAGAGCGCGUUAAUGCGUGAUGGCGUGCCUUUUGUAGAAUGAACCGGCGAGUUAUGAUCCCGUGCAAGGUUAAGACUAAAAAGUCGGAGCCGUAGCGAAAGCGAGUCUGAAAUGGGCGUUUUGAGUACGAGGUUAUAGACCCGAAACCAGGUGACCUAUCCAUGUCCAGGUUGAAGGUGCGGUAAAACGCACUGGAGGACCGAACCCGUGUAAGUUGAAAAUUGCUGGGAUGAGGUGUGGAUAGCGGUGAAAUUCCAAACGAACUUGGAGAUAGCUGGUUCUCUCCGAAAUAGCUUUAGGGCUAGCCUCGGAAUUAGGAUCAUGGAGGUAGAGCACUAUUUGGACUAGGGGCCCGUCUUGGGUUACUGAAUUCAGAUAAACUCCGAAUGCCAUUGAUUCAUAUCCGGGAGUCAGACGAUGAGUGAUAAGAUCCACCGUCGAAAGGGGAACAGCCCAGACCAUCAGUUAAGGUCCCUAAAUGUAUGCUAAGUGGAAAAGGAUGUGGAGUUGCAUAGACAACUAGGAUGUUGGCUCAGAAGCAGCCACCAUUUAAAGAGUGCGUAAUAGCUCACUAGUCGAGUGAUCCUGCGCCGAAAAUGUACCGGGGCUAAGCAUACUACCGAAACCAUGGAUGCGACCAUUAGGUCGCGUGAUAGGAGAGCGUUCUAAGGGCGGUGAAGCAAGAUCGUGAGGACUUGUGGAGCGCUUAGAAGUGAGAAUGCCGGUAUGAGUAGCGAAAGAUAGGUGAGAAUCCUAUCCACCGAAUGACUAAGGUUUCCUGGGGAAGGCUCGUCCUCCCAGGGUUAGUCGGGACCUAAGUCGAGGCCGAGAGGCGUAGACGAUGGAUAACAGGUUGAGAUUCCUGUACUAGUUAAGUGCGUUUGAGCAAUGGAGGGACGCAGGAGGCUAAGAUGUGCAUUCUGUUGGAUUAGAAUGUCCAAGCAGUAAGUCUUGUGAAGAGUCAAAUGCUUUUCACUUUAAGGACAAGCUGUGAUGGGGAGCGAAAUUUAGUAGCGAAGCGUCUGAUGUCACACUGCCGAGAAAAGCUUCUAGUGAGUACUUAACUACCCGUACCGCAAACCGACACAGGUAGUCGAGGAGAGAAUCCUAAGGUGAGCGAGUGAACUCUCGUUAAGGAACUCGGCAAAAUGACCCCGUAACUUCGGGAGAAGGGGUGCUGAUCGCAAGAUCAGCCGCAGUGAAUAGGCCCAGGCGACUGUUUAUCAAAAACACAGGUCUCUGCAAAAUCGUAAGAUGACGUAUAGGGGCUGACGCCUGCCCGGUGCUGGAAGGUUAAAAGGAUGGGUUAGCUUCGGCGAAGCUCAGAAUUGAAGCCCCAGUAAACGGCGGCCGUAACUAUAACGGUCCUAAGGUAGCGAAAUUCCUUGUCGGGUAAGUUCCGACCCGCACGAAAGGCGUAACGAUCUGGGCACUGUCUCAACGAGAGACUCGGUGAAAUUAUAUUGUCCGUGAAGAUGCGGACUACCCGCGACAGGACGGAAAGACCCCAUGGAGCUUUACUGUAGCUUGAUAUUGAGUGUUUGUACAGCUUGUACAGGAUAGGUAGGAGCCAUAGAAACCGGAACGCUAGUUUCGGUGGAGGCGUUGGUGGGAUACUACCCUCGCUGUAUGACCACUCUAACCCGCACCACUAAUCGUGGUGGGAGACAGUGUCAGGUGGGCAGUUUGACUGGGGCGGUCGCCUCCUAAAAAGUAACGGAGGCGCCCAAAGGUUCCCUCAGAAUGGUUGGAAAUCAUUCGCAGAGUGUAAAGGCACAAGGGAGCUUGACUGCGAGACAGACAGGUCGAGCAGGGACGAAAGUCGGGCUUAGUGAUCCGGUGGUACCGUAUGGAAGGGCCAUCGCUCAACGGAUAAAAGCUACCCUGGGGAUAACAGGCUUAUCUCCCCCAAGAGUCCACAUCGACGGGGAGGUUUGGCACCUCGAUGUCGGCUCAUCGCAUCCUGGGGCUGUAGUCGGUCCCAAGGGUUGGGCUGUUCGCCCAUUAAAGCGGUACGCGAGCUGGGUUCAGAACGUCGUGAGACAGUUCGGUCCCUAUCCGUCGCGGGCGUAGGAAAUUUGAGAGGACCUGUCCUUAGUACGAGAGGACCGGGAUGGACAUACCUCUGGUGUACCAGUUGUGCCGCCAGGCGCAUCGCUGGGUAGCUACGUAUGGAUGUGAUAAACGCUGAAAGCAUCUAAGUGUGAAACACACCUCGAGAUGAGAUUUCCCAUUCCUUUAUGGAAGUAAGACCCCUGAAAGAUGAUCAGGUAGAUAGGUUAGAAGUGGCAGUGCGGUGACGCAUGAAGCGGACUAAUACUAAUCGGUCGAGGACUUAACCAA
rnacentral:rRNA from 10 species